rfam:Gossypium hirsutum cultivar TM-1 chromosome 25, whole genome shotgun sequence
AACCCAUGAUGAGGAAACCUUCUCAAAAGAUCCUUGUAUCUCUCCCAUGCAUCAUAUAAAGUCUCUAAAUCAAUUUGAACAAGCGAAGAGAUGUCAUUCCUCAACAU